rnacentral:lncRNA from 1 species
AAGCUUGGGUCCUUGCUGAAGCAGAAACUUGCUCCAACUAUUCUAUUGGAUUUCUUGUUUCUUGAAAGAAAAAGCAAACGUGGACUUCACACCUGGCUCGGAGCCUGCUGAUACAAGAAAGUCAAGGGUAGCUGAGUGUUUAUGGGAACAACUUCAAUGUCCUACAGCUGGAUCAGCCCUUCCCUUCUGUCCCCAGACUUCAGUCCAGGAGGACCACAAGUGGAGGGACAGCCUGGGGAGCCCCAGCAAGAGUUGAGGCACUUCUAACCCUGAGGCAGAAAAUGUGCCAGACAGGAGAGCCCUGCACUGCCCACCACCAUGCCUGGUUUAGGGAGAAGCUGGAGUUUCAUUUGCCAUCAAAACAUGACCCCUGCUGGAGGACCAAGGAUGUGACUUUCAGUUAUUCUUAUGGACAACCCCACACAGAGAAUGGCACAAAUGUGAUUAAUGUGAUAUGAUACAGCUGUCACUGGCUGCAGGAAAUCACAGUCAACUAAAAAACGGUUGGCUUAAGAAGACUUCUUAUUCACCCAGCUGUAAAGGUAAAAAAGUUUUUCUGGAUAUUGUUUUUUGGUAGGUUGAUUGUGAUUUGGGUUUUAUUUUUGGGGCUUUUUUCAUGCAUGUGAUUGUGUUUUACAGAAUUUCGGGAACCAGUGAGCUUUCCUGCAGAGCUCUGUGUGUGUAAUUUUUUUUUUUAAUGGGGGUUCUGGAAAUCAAAUCUUCUGGCAGAAAGUUCUCCAAACACUCAUAGUAGCAGCAGUGCAUUUGAGGAUGUAGUUUGUUCCUAGAUUUAUACCAGCCUGACAUUUUCCCAAUGGCAAAAUAUUUAAAUAAAAACA